AGUGUGAAUGGUGGUCGUUGCUU
rnacentral:siRNA from 1 species